rnacentral:rRNA from 1 species
CCUACGGGGGGCGGCAGUGGGGAAUAUUGGACAAUGGGCGCAAGCCUGAUCCAGCCAUGCCGCGUGAGUGAUGAAGGCCCUAGGGUUGUAAAGCUCUUUCAACGGUGAAGAUAAUGACGGUAACCGUAGAAGAAGCCCCGGCUAACUUCGUGCCAGCAGCCCCGGUC